UCCUUCCUUACCAAAAACUAAAGCCUUCUUUUCUACUAUUGAUAUCAAUAAUUGGAGUCUUUCUAUGAUCCUGUAUUACCAAACAAUCAAAAUUCAAGCACAUUUUAAAAAGUCCAGUGAUCUUCUACUUCAUCACGGAAGCCCACGUUAGAUAGGACAUUCUCCAAUGCUUUGACAAACUUUUCAAAGUAAUUUCUAGUCUCAUUUAUCAGUUCAUCUAGCAUUGAAAUGGUUUAAGAGGCCUUUCGUGUACAAAAUUGUGAAGCUUUUCCAGGAUAGUCUAUGCCACGCUUUGUAAGUUGCAAGCACUCAAAAUGUUGUUUCUUAAUAAUUAUCGUUGUCAGACAUACCUACAGACUGUUUGUUUUAGGUGUGUUACUUUAAGUUAUUGAAAUACUAUGGACAUGUAUGAAUUUUUAUUUGAAUUAUGUAUUUUAAGAUGUUUGGAUAUUUGUAUUGUUUAUUUUACUUUUAUUUGAAUUAUGUAUUUUUAGAUGUUUGGAUAUUUGUAUUGUUUAAAAUAUUUUACUUGCGAUUUUAUGAUUUUAGUUA
rnacentral:lncRNA from 1 species